GGGGGGCGUCCCGGGGCUUCCUUCACGGGGGCCCCGGUCGGCGCCCUCCGGGGCCGAUCCUCGACAGACCGUCGCCGCCGGUGUCUCUUCCCACACCAAAGCGGGGCCAAUACGGGAGCGGCGCGGGGUGAGACCCUUUCCCCCGUCGUCCGACUCCCGGCCCCGUGGGUACCCGGCGAGCGCGGCAGUCCGGCGGUCCCUCCCCUCUCGGGGGGAGGAGGCCUCCGCCUGUACGCAGGGGGGCGCAGGCCCGGGACUUGCCAUUAGACGCCGUCGCGCAAAUCUGUUGUUGGCCUCGCCGGCUCUGCUUGGGCUCUCGGUUGGCGGGCCGCGCGUCAGGCGGGCUUUAGGGCGGGGGCAUCCCCGUCCGGGUCCGUCCCGCGCGGUUUUGCCUUCCGAUCCUGCUCUGUCCGGAGUGGCCUAGCGCGCGUGCUGUCGGCAAGUACCAUGAGCAGACAUGUUGGGACCCGAAAGAUGGUGAACUAUGCCUGGCCAGGAUGAAGCCAGAGGAAACUCUGGUGGAGGUCCGCAGCAAUUCUGACGUGCAAAU
rnacentral:rRNA from 3 species